ensembl:snRNA U6 U6 spliceosomal RNA
GUGCUCACUUCAGCCAACACAUAUACUAAAGUUGGAACAAUGCAGAGAAGAUUAGCAUGGCCUCUGAGCAAGACCUGAAAAUUAGUAACAAAUGCUAUAUUAAAAAUUCUU